GCAGCCGGGAAGGCAGCGGUGUCCUGUACCUGCAAUCCGCUAUAGCAGGGGUGAUGCUUCGCCUCGGAUAUUAUCUUGUAGGGCUGCCCUUUAUAAGUGGCGUUGAAGUUUAGGUCUCACACGGUGGGAAUCUGUGAACCGUGUCAGGUCGGGAACGAAGCAGCACUAAGCAGAACCUCCUGGGUGAUGUGAGGUAGCCUGAGCCGAGUUAACUGUAGAGGUAACGCUUAUGGGAGAUAUACA
rnacentral:SRP_RNA from 1 species